rnacentral:lncRNA from 1 species
CAGCAACCCUUCUGGGUCCCCUUCCACCACGCAGAAGCUUUACUUUCGCUUUCACUUUACUUUUGCUUUCACUUUAACAAAUCUUGCAGCCGCACACUCUUUGGGUCCGCCCGUUUCUCUAAUCAAGUUGUAACACUCGCUGCUGUGGUCCACAGCUUCAUUCCUUGAAGCCCGUGAGACACGAACGCUUCCAUUGAGAAAAACCUUCCAUCAGAAGAAGACUUCUCGUCUCAGUGGGACUGCUGAGUUGAAUGGAUGACCUUUGUUUGUUUAAACUGUUGGAAAAUCAAUAUUUAAAAUGAAAUCUAGAAACUGAAGUGUGCCCUCUGCAGGAUCACCAGAAUGAUGGGAAAACUGAACACAAUCAACUCAUGAACUCCCCAAGAUGCUGCAGGAACUACAGACCCAGGAAAUCAACUGUUAUGACUGACUCUCAAUUAAAAUCAGUGCCUGCCUCUGAGCUAUUGAUGAUUCUAAAAAGUACAGCAUCCACUACCAUUACUUCCUUAUGUAUAAGGGCUGUCACUCUUUAAGCAAAAUAAACAGAUUUUUGAGCAUCAUCUCUUUUUUGGAUCAUCAUUUUGCAAGUGGAGAUUGUGCUUUUUUUUCUGAAGCUUUGGUAGUGUAACUGUAAGAGUCCUGGAAUUGGAAAAGCAAAUCCAGAAGUUGAGUUCCAUGACUUUUUUGCUGUUUGCCUUUGGACUUGCAUCAUUUAUAUUUUUAAUUCAUCGAGGAUGAGAAAAUUGAUUAACACAAAAUCUUUUCAUGUCUUUUCUGAUGAGAGACUAGCUGAAUCCAAGAAGAGAAGCCCUUGAAGAGUGUAUUCUAUUCUAGACAAGCAUUCACACAUUGGCUUCUUUGGUGCCAGCAUGUUUCUGAUCAGCAUGAAAACUGCGCAGGAGCUUUUCUGUCUUGCAGAGCUAGUUAAUGAGAUUGUUGCUGCCUUCAGAUUCUAUAAAGGACUUCUCCAAUAUUGGAUUAAAGAAUGAAGAAAGGAUCAAAUUGAGACAUCCAGGGGGGAAGAGUUCCCUGGCAAAACUCCAAUCUGCCUGAGCACUGAGGUGGAGCCACAGAAGUCCGGGUCAUUUGCACCUGGGAGGAGCCUGGCCCCUCCUCUUCCUGUGUGGAAUCUGGGAUUUAAUCUGUGAGGAGGGAAGGCCAAGGGCAGGAAGCACAGGCUCUCACUUCACUAAGAGUCUCUGUUUCCCCUUUUUUUCCUUUAUGCCUAAUUAAUAAAUCCCAUUUUUCUCACUCUUCAAAUAGUCUUCAAGCCUAAAUUUUCAUGACCAUGGAACAAGGACCCCAUCUUUAGCUGAACUAAGGAAAAGUCCUGCAACAAAAUUCUUUGCUAAAAAUACAUGAGGUUGCCUUUUCCUUCUUAAUCUUAAAAGAAAUAUAUUUCAAUGGUUAACGUUUUAGUAAUUCAAAAAUUAUCAAGCAUUUGUUCACAACCAUAAGAUGUGCAUUGUUUUAUAUUCCUACUUAAUAAUAGACUAUAAUUGUCUAAUUAGACUGCCGAUGUUGAUCUUUGUGGCUCAUUGCAUUGAUUAUAAGCAGUGUUUUGGGUUUGUGUGUGUGUGUCAAAUUUAGGGUUUUUUUGGUAUGGCUGCUGGUUGGUGUAGCCUGUAUCCAGUAUCCUGUAUUAAUUCUAAUAUUUGCAUUUUGAACAUAUUUACAAGUUGCUAAAAUAGCAAAGCUUCGAGAUGAGCCUGGCUGAUAUGGCAAAACCCCGUCUCUACUAAAAAUACAAAAAUUAGCCUGGUGUGGUGGUGCAUGCCUGUAAUCCCAGCUACUUGGAAGUCUGAGGCAGGAGAAUCUCUUGAACCCAGAAGGUGGAGGUUGCAGUGGGCCAAGAUCGCACCACUGCACUCCAGCCUCGGUGAUAGAGCGAGACUACGUCUCAAAAAUAAAAUAAAAUAAAAUAAAAUAAAAAUAGCAAAGCUAUGUAUGGUUUCUCUGAGUUUUGUAAUUUAUCAUUGUUAACUGCAGAAAUUUAUUAUAUGAGACAUAUUAUAUGAGACAUAUAAGUGAAUUUGGAUUGGGUUUAAUUUUAUAUUUUUGAAUAUAGUUCUUCAAGAUAAAUUUUAUCUUAGACCUCAAGAAAUAAAAAUAAAAUAAAUUAGAUAUACAAACGA